rnacentral:rRNA from 1 species
CGGCGGCCGUAACUAUAACGGUCCUAAGGUAGCGAAAUUCCUUGUCGGGUAAGUUCCGACCUGCACGAAUGGCAUAACGAUGGCCACACUGUCUCCUCCCGAGACUCAGUGAAGUUGAAAUGUUUGUGAUGAUGCAAUCUACCCGCGGCUAGACGGAAAGACCCCAUGAACCUUUACUGCAGCUUUGCAUUGAACUGUGAACCGAUUUGUGUAGGAUAGGUGGGAGGCAGAGAAGAGGCCACGCCAGUGGUCUUGGAGCCGACCUUGAAAUACCACCCUGAUUUGUUUGCGGUUCUAACCACGGACAGUGAUCCUGUCUUGGGACCGUGCAUGGUAGGCAGUUUGACUGGGGCGGUCUCCUCCUAAAGGGUAACGGAGGAGUACGAAGGUACGCUAGGUACGGUCGGAAAUCGUGCUGAUAGUGCAAUGGCAAAAGCGUGCUUGACUGCGAGAGCAACAACUCGAGCAGAUGCGAAAGCAGGUCAUAGUGAUCCGGUGGCUCUGAAUGGAAGGGCCAUCGCUCAACGGAUAAAAGGUACUCUGGGGAUAACAGGCUGAUACCGCCCAAGAGUUCAUAUCGACGGCGGUGUUUGGCACCUCGAUGUCGGCUCAUCUCAUCCUGGGGCUGUAGUCGGUCCCAAGGGUAUGGCUGUUCGCCAUUUAAAGAGGUACGUGAGCUGGGUUUAAAACGUCGUGAGACAGUUUGGUCCCUAUCUGCCGUGGGCGUUGGAAGAUUGACGGGGGCUGCUCCUAGUACGAGAGGACCGGAGUGGACGCACCUCUGGUGUACCGGUUGUCACGCCAGUGGCAUUGCCGGGUAGCUAAGUGCGGAAGAGAUAACCGCUGAAAGCAUCUAAGCGGGAAACUUGCCUGAAGAUGAGUCUUCCCGGAGGUAAAACCUCCCUCAAGAGUCGUCCGAGACCAGGACGUCGAUAGGUCAGGUGUGUAAGCGCUGCGAGGCGUUGAGCUAACUGAUACUAAUUGCUCGUGAGGCUUGAUCCU